rnacentral:rRNA from 1 species
UGUCCUACGGGAGGCAGCAGUGAGGAAUAUUGGUCAAUGGGCGAGAGCCUGAACCAGCCAAGUCGCGUGAAGGAUGACGGCCCUACGGGUUGUAAACUUCUUUUGUCAGGGAGCAAUUGAGUCCACGUGUGGGCUUAGCGAGAGUACCUGAAGAAAAAGCAUCGGCUAACUCCGUGCCAGCAGCCGCGGUAAUACGGAAGGUCCGGGCGUUAUCCGGAUUUAUUGGGUUUAAAGGGAGCGUAGGCCGGCUUUUAAGUCAGCUGUGAAAGUCCGCGGCUCAACCGUGGAAUUGCAGUUGAAACUGG